ensembl:lncRNA
ACACCAAGUGUUCAGAUCCUGACUCAACCUUCUACAGACCAAGAAGCAAGCGAGAGAUCCACUUCAUCCUUCCAACAGGUAAUUACACAUUAAUUUGUUCUUUUUGGAAUUAAGUAGAUGUCUCAGUUGGCUCCAUUGCAUACAUGAAAUGCCCUUUCACUGUAUUAAAACAAUCAGUUUGUGUGAAAUGUUCACAAUAUCAAUGUUGGCAUUACUUGUUUGUGAAUAGCUGAGCAGAGAGAAAUUGGCUAUACCAUUUGUUAGCUCUAACUUCCCCUUAAAGCAUCUAAUUAAUCUUUAUUCUCACAAAAUUCUUCAUUUUUAGUCCUUUUUGCUAAUGUUUUUGUCCAUGUUAGAUCUGCUGAUCAGUUUGCAUGAUUGGAUUUCUGGGGAUGCAGAUCAUUUCAUAUCAGUGUAGGGUUUAGAUCUUUCUUUGACAACAACAGAAGAUGUUUGAAGUCAGGAACAUGGACUCUAUAUGUGUUCAGUCGUCAUGUCCCCAUAUUGUUUUAGGCUGUGAAAGACUUGAGUGUGUUUCAGUUGAUGUCCUCAUGGUCUGACCCAUCGAAUGUAGAGCGUGUGCUACAUGUCCCCAUAUUGUUUUAGGCUGUGAAAGACUUGAGUGUGUUUCAGUUGAUGUCCCCAUAUUGUCUGACCCAUCGACUGUAGAGAGUGUGUACCAAGUCCUCAUAUUGUUUUAGGCUGUGAAAGACUGAGUGUGUUUCAGGUGAUGUCCCCAUAUUGUCUGACCCAACGACUGUAGAGUGUGUGUUACAUGUCCUCAUAUUGUUGGGUAGCAGAUGAUGUACAGUGUUAGCAGUUUCUAUAGAGUUUGGCAUAAUGCGCCUAGAUCCUCCUGUGAAUUACGUUCACCGAAACAAGUAUGAUCAUUUGUUCAUUAAUUUGUCAGGAUUUAUAGUACAGAAUAUGUCUGACACUGUAUUGUUGUGUUUUGUUGCAGACACCAAGUGUUCAGAUCCUGACUCAACCUUCUACAGACCAAGAAGCAAGCGAGAGAUCCACUUCAUCCUUCCAACAGACACCAAGUGUUCAGAUCCUGACUCAACCUUCUACAGACUAAGAAGCAAGCGAGAGAUCCACUUCAUCCUUCCAACAGACACCAAGUGUUCAGAUCCUGACUCAACCUUCUACAGACUAAGAAGCAAGCGAGAGAUCCACUUCAUCCUUCCAACAGACACCAAGUGUUCAGAUCCUGACUCAACCUUCUGCAGACCAAGAAGUGAGCAAGAGAUCCACUUCAUCCUUCCAACAGACACCAAGUGUUCAGAUCCUGACUCAACUUUCUGCAGACCAAGAAGUGAGCAUGAGAUCCACUUCAUCCUUCCAACAGACACCAAGUGUUCAGAUCCUGACUCAACCUUCUGUAGACCAAGAAGCGAGCGAGAGAUCCACUUCAUCCUUCCAACAGACACCAAGUGUUCAGAUCCUGACUCAACUUUCUGCAGACCAAGAAGUGAGCAUGAGAUCCACUUCAUCCUUCCAACAGACACCAAGUGUUCAGAUCCUGACUCAACCUUCUGUAGACCAAGAAGCGAGCGAGAGAUCCACUUCAUCCUUCCAACAGACAUCAAGCGUUCAGAUCCUUACUCAACUUUCUGCAGACCAAGAUAUGAGCAAGAGAUCCACUUCAUCUUUCCAACAGGUCAGCCAGACCACUGGAGGUGUCUCCUUCCACCAGACAGCUACUGCAAGGUUGAACAUCCCUUGGUCGAUGAUGGUGGAUUUCAUGAUGGAAACUCUGCAAGCUUAAGUGACCAGAUCUCUACUGAUGAAUCUUCAGAUUGUACAGAUUAUGAAGAUAUUGACUAUGUUCCAGACUCAGGUGGCAAUUCCUCAGACACAAGUCUCUGUAGUAACGAACUGAGAAUCACAGAAUCUCUUGCUCCCAAAAAUUGUUCAAGGACAUGCCAGUGGGGAUAGCUACAGUACACAGUGGGGAGAGAAACCUACAAGUUUAAGUUUGUCACUGAGAAGCAGCAGUCAUAGCACUUCAGUGAUGAGUUGCAGUAACAAUUCCCUGGAGGCAAGAUUUCUGUAUUUUCUGUUCUGUUUCAAUUGACAUAUUUUGCCAGCAAUUAAAAAAGAAAAAAUGGCAGAAAGUGUUCCAUGUCUUUAUUCACAUGAACAUGUACUACAAAAUUUAUAAAUGCAAUACAAUAAGACUUAAAAAGCAGACUGACCACAUUUUUUAGCUAUGUCUCAUUUUAAGUCUCUACAAAGCUUAGUUUUACUGUGUUGUAUUAACAUGUGAAUAUCUGACAUUUCUGUCAGAGGUUACCUGACUGAUGAGCAUGACUAUUGUACACCUGUGUCUAUUAUAUAGGUAUUUCAAACAUAUCCAACAGGAGCCAAGGUAAUAAUACAGACCCUACCCUUUCCUAGUCUUUAUAAGUCAUGUAUACAUGAAAAUUUUGUGUGUAUCCAUGGGUUUCACAAUUCACCUAAACAUGAAAUAUCAGUGUGUGAUUUUAUUGCACCUAUAAGUCACAUAAACCUGACAGUGUCCUCACAAGUAGCAUUAAAAUCAGGUUUGACCAAAAGUUUGCCCUAGCCAAAAUCUCAACAGAUGGGCAUAUUCCUGGAAGCAUGGGGAAGAAACACUUUGAUUCCCCAGCCUCUAGGACCUUGGGAAAGGCAUGUUCCCAUUUUUCACAUUUUUGUCUUAUGUACCGAUAUGUCCCGAAAACACGUAUGUGUGUGUGUGUGUGUGUGUGUGUGUUUCUCCAUGCUCCUUCACACCUUGCUUUCAUUAGUAAUUUGGUUGUUAACAGAGCUUAUGUUCUGAUGUGUGUGUGUGUGUGUGUGUGUGUGUGUGGAGUGAGUUCGUGAAGUUUUUUACCUACAUGUAAAUCAGUUUGUGGUUGCAUAACAAAUCUAAAAUGAUACAGUAUUUUCAGUUUCAGGUUGAGUUUCGUCAGUAUCAGAUUUCUACCUU